AUGGACAAGAUCAGGAGAAAGAUUACUGUCAGGUUUGAGAAGAGGAGAAGGGUAGCUAGAAAAUUUCAAGGUCGACGUAUACUUCCAAGUGUCAUGAAGGAGUUGAAUGACAUAAGCAGGGGGCUGGACAUUGAAUAUGAGAGAAUAUAUGACAUGAUUGCAGAGGUGAGUGAGAGUGUUGCACUAGGUGGCAAGUGCCACGUCACUGAUCUAGCAAAUAGGACAUGCACAUGCAGGGCAUUUCAAGUCUCUGGGAAGCCUUGCAAACAUGCAAUUAGCUUUAUUACUGGAAUUAGGGGGGUCACAAUAGAAGACUUCGUUGAUGAUUGUUACAGCGUUGCCAAGUUCGUUGCAGCUUAUGCUCCUAUUCUUCCUGGCCUAACUGACAUGUCUCAAUGGCCUAGUGUGAACAAAGAAUUCUUCUUGAAUCCCCCAAUCCUUAGGAGGGCCCCUGGAGGCCAAAGAUGGCAAAGCUGCAAAGAUGCUGCUCCUGAAGCACUAGAAGCCUAUGCAGAAGUAGCAAAGCAAAAAAGGGACAAAAGAAAGAAAAAACCCAUUACAAAAGCUAUUUGUACAACAUCAGAUCAAGCAACUGAUGGUACACUACCUCUGCUUCCAUGUCCAAGAGAAAAUGAAACUGCACUAGCUCUACUUUCAUGUUCAAGUGAUGCAAUUGAAGACGAUGUUGCCAAGUCGACAUCAUCGAAGACUACUAAAUCUAGAAGAUUUAAUAUGUUGCUUGCUGAAUCUCUUCCAAAUGGUGUGGAUUUUCUUGAGUAUUACUCUGUUGCUCGAAAUAUUUAUAUUGGGGAAGUAAACUUUUGGUGCUUUAGAAACAAUCCUGCACAUAUAUAUCAGGUGACGUAUUGGCUUGCAGCUCGUGUGAGCAUCCACAGUGAUGGGUUCUUGUGCGGAUUAUCAGAGGCAGCAGCACCGUCGUGGAGUACAUGUACAUCAAUGUCGACGGUGCCGGCAGCAACGACACAAGGUGGGCGAUUUGACCAGCGCAACAUUCUUAUUUGA
rnacentral:rRNA from 1 species